GCGGUGGCGGCGGCGGUGGAGGCGGUGGACAAGGUGAUGGUUCAGGCACUGGCUAUGGCUCUGGCUCAGGCUCAGGCUCAGGCUACGGUUCGGGCGCUGGUGGUGGUCAGGGCGGAGGUUAUGGGAGUGGCGGAGGCGGAGGCGGUGGAGGCGGCGGCGGAACGGGCUCUGGCACGGGCUCCGGCUCCGGCUACGGUUCCGGUUCCGGUUCUGGCUACGGUAGCGGUGGAGGAAAUGGCCACCACUAGAUUUACGCAUACAGAUGUUGGAAGGUAGCAGGAAUAAAAGCUUUAAGGUUGUAUCAGCAGAAGUCAAGUAUGAUGCGUGGAGAUGAUGAAAUAAGUGAUGCUUGUGUAACACCGUAUAAGUGGAACUUGCUUUAUUGCUUAUAAUAAAUAUAUAAAGAAUGCUU
rnacentral:lncRNA from 1 species